rnacentral:rRNA from 1 species
AUACGGAGGGAGCGAGCGUUAAUCGGAAUUACUGGGCGUAAAGCGCGCGUAGGCGGCUUUGUAAGUCGGAUGUGAAAGCCCUGGGCUUAACCUGGGAAUGGCAUUCGAUACUGCAGAGCUAGAGUGUGGUAGGGGCAAUUGGAAUUCCCGGUGUAGCGGUGAAAUGCGUAGAUAUCGGGAGGAAUACCAAUGGCGAAGGCAGAUUGCUGGGCCAUCACUGACACUGAGACUCGAAAGCUAGGGGAGCAAACAGGAUUAGAUACCCCAGUAGUCC